rnacentral:rRNA from 1 species
AACCCCGUAGUCGAAACUUCGUUCUCUCUUGAAUGUAUCCUGAGUACGGCGGAACACGUGAAAUUCCGUCGGAAUCUGGGAGGACCAUCUCCCAAGGCUAAAUACUCCCUAGUGAUCGAUAGUGAACCAGUACCGUGAGGGAAAGGUGAAAAGCACCCCGGAAGGGGAGUGAAAGAGAUCCUGAAACCGUGUGCCUACAAAUAGUCAGAGCCCGUUAAUGGGUGAUGGCGUGCCUUUUGUAGAAUGAACCGGCGAGUUACGAUCCCGUGC